CCGUGAAAACAAUCGGUUGGUUCUAGUCGGUGAGCCUGUGAAAACCGACCGAGUUCGUUGUGAUCUCGCAAAACAACAAGUUGGGUUGUGAGCUUGUAAAACAACCGACUGUAAUCUAAGGAAUUAUAGUGAAAUUCCCAAGAGGUCUUGGGGAGUGGAUGUAGGUGCUGGGGUGCACCGAACCACUAUACAUCUUUGUGUUUGUGAUGCUUUAUCUCUUGUAUUUCAUGCCUUCCAUUCAUGCUUGAUUGUGUAAUAUCUCUAUAUUUGUUUCUAUAGAGUUAUAAGUGAUUUGCUUAGCUUCCACUCCAUUCUUACCAUACACAUAGAUUAAAAUUGAUCAUACAACUAUAAGUUAAUGUUAGAUCAAUUGCACCCUAAAGCCAUAGUAUAAUUACUCUAGCUUAAUCUUCCACUGCUUUACUUGUAAUUGCCUAGAGCUUAAGUAAAUAACAUCUUAUUAUUCCGCUGCAUUCUAUUCAAAGUAAAAAUUAGGGAACAUAAUUUUUAGAAAACCCAAUUCACCCCCCCCUCUUGGGUUGUCACCUUGGGCAACAA
rnacentral:lncRNA from 1 species